CCGCGAGUGACAGCGGGAAGGGGAAGGCGGGAGAGGGCGGCCGCCGGCUGAGGGGUGCAGGGUCCUUCCUCAGUAGAGCAAUUUGUGAUAGAGAUGGCCAGUGGCACCUGCAAAGUACUGUAUUCCUCUUCUGUUCAAAGUCGCUGGCUGGAGAAACUGCAGAAUUCAACACUGCUGUUAAAUGGAUUUAUUUGGGAAUUAGGGCAUUUGCCGUGUACUGCUGCAUUGCUGAGGAACUGGCUGGACCGGACAGGGGGCCUCUGGCUCCCAGCUCUGGCCCAGAUUGUUCAGACCCUCUUCCGCAUCUGAAGGUACUACUUGGGGCAAAGUCUGUGAAGACCAGGCAGGUCUGCAGCAGGAAUAUUUAAGAAUCCCCCCAGCCCUCUGAGGGGGAAAGAGAAGGGAGUGGAAUCUGCAAAAUUUCUCUGCAUGAGUUUUAAAACCUAUAAAACCUGCAACAGAUAAAAAGCAUAUUAAAAACACAGUUCUACUUUCUAGCCAAGAAGUGUUUGCAUAUCAUGAAUCUAAUCAACGGUAAUACUUUUUAGUACAAAAGAUACGGCACAAGACCUGGAAUCAGGAGUGUGAAGUUCCAGUUCCAGCAACUCAUUAGGAAACCCUCAAGAGAACCACGUAGAGGUUCACUUUUCCAGCACUGCCAAGCUGAGAUGCUUUGCAACGAGUUUCAGGAGUGCCAAGCAUCUGUACAGUGGAUUCAAGAUCUGAUACCUCUGCACAAGAUCCAUCAAUAUCCAUGUUUCCUAAACAUUCACGUUCCAAAACUUUGUUUUAGCUAAUGAACCAAAAGUCCUUAUGAGGACUAUAUGAACCAUACAAUUACUACAACCAAACAAUUACUACAUACAGAAAUUAAUUCCAAUAGACAAGCAAUGAAACAUAGAAAGAAUUAGCAGUGGGAGCCUUAAACAAAGUAAUCACCACCCGUGAUUGCUGUCCUGACCAUCAAGACUUAAAAAGUAUUCUGAAAAGACAAGCCCAGGAACAAAAAUGACGGGGCAGAAAAAACAUGGAUAUAAUGGAGACAUUGAUUUUACAAUACAUUGACAUUUUCCACACACAUACUACCUCAUGGCCAAAGGAAAUGGGUAACUGCUGUACUCUGUUCUGUAUAAGACUAGUAUUACUUCUUUCCUUGCAAGUUUCCUCCACUGUUGCAGAUGCCAGGUACCCUUUUUUUCCUUCAAAUUGUUUAACUGAUUUAUGUAGCAAAGUUAAAUUCAGAGCAAUUUCUUCCUGUCUACCCUUAGCAUGAAGUUUGCUCUCUCUGUGCCAGAUCUGAAGAAGAGUUUGUAUCUAUCACAGUCUGAGUAAAAAGAUUACCUCUCCUUGCAAGCCAUCCCUUUCUUAAAAAUUUAGGGCACUUAAAUUUAUUAGAAAUACCUAAAAAUGUAGGUAUAGACAAUCAGCUCAAAUAUUUCACAAUUAGUAAGUACAUUGAUGCAGUCAGUCCUGACUUCAGAUUGCUAUGUGCUUUUUUCCUGAAGCCUGCUCCAAUCCCAUAAAAAAUACGUUUCUUUGCAGAUCUGAGUGAGCCCUAUUCCACCCAAUUCACUGUAGUGCAUGGGCAUUUGUGUUUCUCCCACUGCUAAAACCAAAAGCUGAUGGCUGUGAAGCACUCUGCAAAUCUGGCUCCUUUUUGUGUAUUUGAAACCUGGGACUGGAUUUGAAAGUCUGGUCCCAUUUCUUAUUAUCAGUCCUCAGAAGAAUCCAUUCUACUACUUUCUCUGCGGCAGCUCAAGUAUUUUGUUUCAUUAGUGGAAAACAAAAGCAGGAUUCAAGACUGUAGUUUUGAUUGCUUUCAUAUAAUAAAAUAAGUUAGUACAAUGGAUUUAAAUGGAAGUAGAAUUAUAUAUGAAAAUUUUUUAUUAUGCCAGAAAAUUUCAAUUAGGGGAAAUUAGCCACUUGGUUCUUUCUGAUAAAUUAAUCAUAGAGAUUAUCUAUUAAA